rnacentral:rRNA from 1 species
GGAAGUCGAGGGUAGAGGAAGCUUGCUUCCUUGAGACCGGCGCACGGGUGCGUAACGCGUAUGCAACCUACCUUUUACAGAGGGAUAGCCCAGAGAAAUUUGGAUUAAUACCUCAUGGUAUAUAUUAUUCGCAUGUUUGAUAUAUUAAAGUUCCAACGGUAAAAGAUGGGCAUGCGUCCUAUUAGCUAGAUGGUAAGGUAACGGCUUACCAUGGCAACGAUAGGUAGGGGUCCUGAGAGGGAGAUCCCCCACACUGGUACUGAGACACGGACCAGACUCCUACGGGAGGCAGCAGUGAGGAAUAUUGGACAAUGGGCGCAAGCCUGAUCCAGCCAUGCCGCGUGCAGGAAGAAGCAUCUAUGGUGUGUAAACUGCUUUUGUACGGGAAGAACCUC